GAGUUUGAUCGUGGCUCAGGAUAAACGCUGGCGGCGCACAUAAGACAUGCAAGUCGAACGGAAGUCGUUAUAAAUGAAUUGAAGAUUUAUCUGAUUGAAGUUUAUAACAAUGGCUUUAGUGGCGGACUGGUGAGUAACGCGUAAGGAAUCUACCUAUUAGAGGGGAAUAACAAUGAGAAAUCAUUGCUAAUACCGCAUAUGCCAUAGUGGAGGCAUCUUCAUAGUGGGAAAGGAGCAAUUCGCUAAUAGAUGAUCUUGCGUCUGAUUAGUUAGUUGGUGGGUAACGGCCUACCAAGACGACGAUCAGUAGCCGGACUGAGAGGUUG
rnacentral:rRNA from 1 species